AUUGAACGCUGGCGGCAGGCCUAACACAUGCAAGUCGAGCGGAUGAAGGGAGCUUGCUCUCUGAUUUAGCGGCGGACGGGUGAGUAAUGCCUAGGAAUCUGCCUGGUAAUGGGGGACAACGUCCCGAAAGGAACGCUAAUACCGCAUACGUCCUACGGGAGAAAGCGGGGGAUCUUCGGACCUCGCGCUAUCAGAUGAGCCUAGGUCGGAUUAGCUAGUUGGUGAGGUAAAGGCUCACCAAGGCGACGAUCCGUAACUGGUCUGAGAGGAUGAUCAGUCACACUGGAACUGAGACACGGUCCAGACGCCUACGGGAGGCAGCAGUGGGGAAUAUUGGACAAUGGGCGAAAGCCUGAUCCAGCCAUGCCGCGUGUGUGAAGAAGGUCUUCGGAUUGUAAAGCACUUUAAGUUGGGAGGAAGGGUUGUAGAUUAAUACUCUGCAAUUUUGACGUUACCGACAGAAUAAGCACCGGCUAACUUCGUGCCAGCCGCCGCCGUAAAAC
rnacentral:rRNA from 1 species